rnacentral:rRNA from 1 species
GACGGAGGAUGCAAGUGUUAUCCGGAAUCACUGGGCGUAAAGCGUCUGUAGGUUGUUUAAAAAGUCUGCAGUUAAAGGUUGAAGCUUAACUUCAAAAAUGCCGUAGAAACUUUUAAACUAGAGGAUGGUAGGGGUAGAGGGAAUUUCCAGUGGAGCGGUGAAAUGUGUAGAUAUUGGAAAGACCACCGAUGGCGAGGGCACUCUACUGGGCCAUGACUGACACUGAGAGACGAAAGCUAGGGGAGCGAAUGGG